GACGAACGCUGGCGGCGUGCUUAACACAUGCAAGUCGAACGGUGAAGCGCCUUCCUUUUUGGUGGGUGUGGAUGAGUGGCGAACGGGUGAGUAACACGUGAGUAACCUGCCCCCUUCUUCUGGAUAACCGCAUGAAAGUGUGGCUAAUACGGGAUAUUCUGGGUCUGUCGCAUGAUGGGUCUGGGAAAGAUAUUGUUUCGGUGGGGGAUGGGCUCGCGGCCUAUCAGCUUGUUGGUGGGGUGAUGGCCUACCAAGGCGGUGACGGGUAGCCGGCCUGAGAGGGUGGACGGUCACACUGGGACUGAGACACGGCCCAGACUCCUACGGGAGGCAGCAGUGGGGAAUAUUGCACAAUGGGCGCACGCCUGAUGCAGCGACGCCGCGUGAGGGAUGGAGGCCUUCGGGUUGUGAACCUCUUUCGCCAGUGAAGCAGGCCUGCCUCGUUUGUGGGUGGGUUGACGGUAGCUGGAUAAGAAGCGCCGGCUAACUACGU
rnacentral:rRNA from 1 species